AUUGAACGCUGGCGGCAGGCCUAACACAUGCAAGUCGAGCGGAUGACGGGAGCUUGCUCCUUGAUUCAGCGGCGGACGGGUGAGUAAUGCCUAGGAAUCUGCCUGGUAGUGGGGGACAACGUUUCGAAAGGAACGCUAAUACCGCAUACGUCCUACGGGAGAAAGCAGGGGACCUUCGGGCCUUGCGCUAUCAGAUGAGCCUAGGUCGGAUUAGCUAGUUGGUGGGUUAAUGGCUCACCAAGGCGACGAUCCGUAACUGGUCUGAGAGGAUGAGCAGGCACACUGGAACUGAGACACGGUCCAGACUCCUACGGGAGGCAGCAGUGGGGAAUAUUGGACAAUGGGCGAAAGCCUGAUCCAGCCAUGCCGCGUGUGUGAAGAAGGUCUUCGGAUUGUAAAGCACUUAAAGUUGGGAGGAAGGGCAGUAAGCUAAUACCUUGCUGUUUUGACGUUACCGACAGAAUAAGCACCGGCUAACUCUGUGCCAGCCGCCGCGGUAA
rnacentral:rRNA from 1 species